rnacentral:rRNA from 1 species
UACGUAGGUGGCAAGCGUUGUCCGGAUUUACUGGGCGUAAAGGGCGUGCAGGCGGUUUGUUAAGUGCAGGGUGAAAGCUCCCGGCUCAACUGGGAGAGGUCCUUGCAUACUGGCAAACUCGAGGGAGGCAGAGGAAAGUGGAAUUCCCGGUGUAGUGGUGAUAUGCGUAGAUAUCGGGAGGAACACCUGUGGCGGAAGGCGGCUUUCUGGGCCU